UCACUGGAAGCAGUAAUAAAAGAUAUCCCACCUUCACACCCUUCUGCACUAAAUUCUCCUGAACAAAAGCCAUGGAGAACAGCUCGAGUAAGCCAGGCACUCUUAGGAAGGGAGGUGGGAGGCAUGCGAAGAUAAUUUGAUAAUUAUCUUGAUUUAUUUUUAUUAUUGCGGUUUCAUAAUAAGGUGUAUAACCCGGUUGGGCGUACAUAAGAAGGAUUGUUAUGCCUAAUAUAUACUGUUGAUUUA